UUGGCUUUGGCACCACAUAUACUAAAACUGGAAUGAACCAGAAAAGAUCAACAUGGGCCCUGAGCAAAGCUGAUAAGCAAAUUCAUGAAGUGUUCCGUUAAAAA